GAUGAACGCUGGCGGCGUGCCUAAUACAUGCAAGUCGAGCGAAUGGAUUAAGAGCUUGCUCUUAUGAAGUUAGCGGCGGACGGGUGAGUAACACGUGGGUAACCUGCCCAUAAGACUGGGAUAACUCCGGGAAACCGGGGCUAAUACCGGAUAACAUUUUGAACCGCAUGGUUCGAAAUUGAAAGGCGGCUUCGGCUGUCACUUAUGGAUGGACCCGCGUCGCAUUAGCUAGUUGGUGAGGUAACGGCUCACCAAGGCAACGAUGCGUAGCCGUCCUGAGAGGGUGAUCGGCCACGCUGGGACUGAGACACGGCCCAGACUCCUACGGGAGGCAGCAGUAGGGAAUCUUCCGCAAUGGACGAAAGUCUGACGGAGCAACACCGCGUGAGUGAUGAAGGCUUUCGGGUCGUAAAACUCUGUUGUUAGGGAAGAACAAGUGCUAGUUGAAUAAGCUGGCACCUUGACGGUACCUAACCAGAAAGCCACGGCUAACUACGUGCCAGCCGCCGCAGUAA
rnacentral:rRNA from 1 species